UCAUCUACACCCUCAAGCUCUGCUUGGUGUUGGGCGUCUGUCCCGCCUCUGCGCGUGGACUCGCCUCAAAGUCAUUGGCAGCGGUCUUUGCCUCCUCUCGCGCAGCACAUUGCGUUUCUCGAGGGGCGGGGUCGCGUCCACGAAGCUCAUUUUAUACCGUCUUUGACCUCGGAUCAGGUAGGGAUACCCGCUGAACUUAA
rnacentral:misc_RNA from 1 species